rnacentral:rRNA from 1 species
CCUACGUGUGGCAGCAGUGGGGAAUAUUGGGCAAUGGACGCAAGCCUGACCCAGCAACGCCGCGUGAAGGAAGAAGGCUUUCUGGUUGUAAACUUCUUUUUACAGGGAAGAGUAUCACACUGUACCUGUCGAAUUAGCCACAGCUAACUACUUGCGAUCAGCCGCGGCAAUACGUAGGUGGCAAGCGUUGUCCGGAUUUAAUGGGUGUAAAGGGCGUGUAGCCGGGUUGACAAGUCAGAUGUGAAAUCCUGCGGCUUAACCGCAGAACUGCAUUUGAAACUGUUGGUCUUGAGUACUGGGGCGGUAGGCGGAAUUCCUGGUGUAGCGGUGAAAUGCGUAGAUAGUA